rnacentral:rRNA from 1 species
UACGAAGGGUGCAAACGUUGCUCGGAAUUAUUGGGCGUAAAGCGCACGUAGGCGGCUUGGCAAGUCGGAUGUGAAAUCCCUCGGCUCAACCAAGGAAGUGCAUCCGAAACUGCUGAGCUUGAGUACUUAAGAGGAUCGCGGAAUUCCCGGUGUAGAGGUGAAAUUCGCAGAUAUCAGGAGGAACACCGGUGGCGAAGGCGGAUCUCUGGGCCAUUACUGACGCUGAGGAGCGAAAGCGUGGGGAGCGAACAGG